CACUACGGUGGCCUAGUGGUUAGAUCGUUCGCCUCGGAUGCGGGAGGUCGCUGGUUCGAACCCUGGCCGAGUCA